rnacentral:rRNA from 2 species
UACUAGAAUAUUAAAAGUUAUGGCCUUUAAAUUUAAAAAAUUUGGCGGUGUUUUAGUCUAGUUAGAGGAACCUGUUUUAUAAACGAUAUGACACGCAUUAUUUUACUUAUUUUAGUGGAGCAGUUUGUAUACCGUCAUUAUAAGAUAAUUUAGGAGAAAAUAUUAUUGAAAUCAUAUUUGUGAGUAUAUUAGAUCAAGGUGCAGCUUAUAAAUAAGUAAAUAUGGGUUACAAUAAAAUUAAUUUAAUAUGAAUUAAGUAUUUAAAUAUAUUUAUGAAGGAGGAUUUAAUUGUAAGGGAAGGAGUAGUGAGAUUUUCUGAUAAAAGCUCUAAAUUAUGUACAUAUCGCCCGUCGCUC